rnacentral:lncRNA from 1 species
AGCUGUCCAUCCUAUAGAAUGGGUCAAUAAUUAUGGGAAGCAAUGAUUUGUAAGUUUUAGACUUUUAGUAUGUUUGACUGUUUGUACUUUGUUUCAGAUAUUGAAUUAGAUAGAUCGGAACGAAGAAAUCAGGAAAGGAAGAUGUUCUCACUUCACAGUUCAUACUUCAUAGCCUAGAAGACGAAGAACUUUAACUUGGAGAUAUUGAUUAUGAUGAAGAUGAAGUGAUGCAAAACAUUUGAAAUUACUACUUCACUAUAAAAAAUGUAAACAUUUCAUUAUCUACUUAUUAAUUUGAAAUUGAGAAAUAAAGUANNN